rnacentral:lncRNA from 1 species
AGGGACUGGCCAAUGGAGACCCUUCCCAGAAGGAUGGUGUUGGUCACCAAGAUGGAGCUUGUCAAGGGGUCAAGUAAAAGGAAGGCUGAGCCGUAGCCUCGGGACUUGGGAAUUGGCAGGUGACCCCAGGACAAGGAGCCACUGGAAAGAAGGCCACAGCCCAGAGCCACGCCAGGAUCUCUGGUCCU